AGUGAACGCUGGCGGUAGGCCUAACACAUGCAAGUCGAACGGCAGCACAGUAAGAGCUUGCUCUUACGGGUGGUGAGUGGCGGACGGGUGAGGAAUACAUCGGAAUCUACUUUUUCGUGGGGGAUAACGUAGGGAAACUUACGCUAAUACCGCAUACGACCUACGGGUGAAAGCAGGGGAUCUUCGGACCUUGCGCGAUUGAAUGAGCCGAUGUCGGAUUAGCUAGUUGGCGGGGUAACGGCCCACCAAGGCGACGAUCCGUAGCUGGUCUGAGAGGAGGAACAGCCACACUGGAACUGAGACACGGUCCAGACUCCGACGGGAGGCAGCAGUGGGGAAUAUUGGACAAUGGGCGCAAGCCUGAUCCAGCCAUACCGCGUGGGUGAAGAAGGCCUUCGGGUUGUAAAGCCCUUUUGUUGGGAAAGAAAAGCAGCAGGUGAAUACCCCGCUGUUCUGACGGUACCCAAAGAAUAAGCACCGGCUAACUUCGUG
rnacentral:rRNA from 1 species